AAGAAGUAAAAUUGGGGCUGCUAACUCUGAUUAGGGAGUGUAUUCCACUUCUUU
rnacentral:tRNA from 2 species